UACAGAGGUCUCGAGCGUUAUGCGGAAUCACUGGGCUUAAAGCGUGUGUAGGCGGAUCGUUAAGUGCCUUGUGAAAUCCCACGGCUCAACCGUGGAAGUGCAUUCGAAACUGCAGGGCUAGAGUCCUGGAGAGGAAGGUGGAAUGCUUGGUGUAGAGGUGAAAUUCGUAGAUAUCAAGCGGAACACCGGUGGCGAAGGCGGCCUUCUGGACAGUGACUGACGCUGAGACGCGAAAGCGUGGGGAGCAAACAGG
rnacentral:rRNA from 1 species